CGGUGUUUAACUGGCGUGAUGUGGGACGUCCUACCGGUGGGCUUAGCCUCGCGAGGGGCGGCCCAACUAAUAUCCCGUCGCGGUGCUCUUUACUGAGUGUCGAGUCGGGCCGGUACGUUUACUUUGAACAAAUUAGAGUGCUUAAAGCAGGCUAUCCUCGCCUGAAUACUGCGUGCAUGGAAUAAUGGAAUAGGACCUCGGUUCUAUUUUGUUGGUUUUCGGAACCCCGAGGUAAUGAUUAAUAGGGACAGAUGGGGGCAUUCGUAUUGCGACGUUAGAGGUGAAAUUCUUGGAUCGUCGCAAGACGGACAGAAGCGAAAGCAUUUGCCAAAAAUGUUUUCAUUAAUCAAGAACGAAAGUUAGAGGUUCGAAGGCGAUCAGAUACCGCCCUAGUUCUAACCAUAAACGAUGCCAGCUAGCGAUCCGCCGAAGUUCCUCCGAUGACUCGGCGGGCAGCUUCCGGGAAACCAAAGCUUUUGGGUUCCGGGGGAAGUAUGGUUGCAAAGCUGAAACUUAAAGGAAUUGACGGAAGGGCACCACCAGGAGUGGAGCCUGCGGCUUAAUUUGACUCAACACGGGAAACCUCACCAGGCCCAGACACCGGAAGGAUUGACAGAUUGAUAGCUCUUUCUUGAUUCGGUGGGUGGUGGUGCAUGGCCGUUCUUAGUUGGUGGAGCGAUUUGUCUGGUUAAUUCCGAUAACGAACGAGACUCUAGCCUGCUAAAUAGGCGUACCUUAUGGUAUCGCGAAGGCCCCCGACUUCGGCCGGUGGGUUUUUACUACCAACGUACAAACAAAUCUUCUUAGAGGGACAGGCGG
rnacentral:rRNA from 1 species